AAGUCGUAACAAGGUUUCCGUAGGUGAACCUGCGGAAGGAUCAUUACCAAAUCCAAAUACCCAAACCCCAUGUGAACUAUUGUUUAGUCUGUCUUUGGGAGAAAAACGAAGAAAAGAGAUAUUUCUAAGAGUUUUCUCUUUUAGUAACUUUUUUUGGAGUAUUUCUCCCAAUAGAAUCCGGCAUAGCCUUUUUUGGUUUGUGUCCAGAUUCGAAACCCCCUUUUUUAAACCACUUGAUUUUUCUGUUGGAAUUUCUUUUAUUAAUUUUUAAAUAAAAGACAACUUUUAACGGUGGAUCUCUUGGCUCGUG
rnacentral:misc_RNA from 1 species